rnacentral:rRNA from 1 species
AUACGUAGGUGACAAGCGUUAUCCGGAUUUACUGGGCGUAAAGGGCGUGUAGGCGGUCUUGUAAGUCAGAAGUGAAAUUCCUGAGCUCAACUCGGGCGCUGCUUCUGAAACUGCAGGACUUGAGUGCUGGAGGGGAUAGCGGAAUUCCUAGUGGAGCGGUAAAAUGCGCAGAUAUUAGGAAGAACACCGGUGGCGAAGGCGGCUAUCUGGACAGUAACUGACGCUGAGGCGCGAAAGCGUGGGGAGCAAACAGGAUUAGAUACCCUGGUAGUCCACACUGUAAACGAUGAAUGCUAGGUGUAGGGGGUAUCGACCCCUUCUGUGCCGCAGUCAACACAAUAAGCAUUCCGCCUGAGGAGUACGGCCGCAAGGUUGAAACUCAAAUGAAUUGGCGGGG